UACACUACAAAUUAAUGCCCCGUCACUUGAAGUUCUUUCUCUUGUUGAUUAUUCAUCGGCUCCUAGACAAUAUGAAUAUACAAACUUGUCCAAUCUUGACGAAGCUUCUAUUUUCAUUUGUAAGCGUGUGGAUUUUAACAAUUUGUAUACAUUCUUGAAAGGACUUUCUAAUGUCAAAUCAUUGGCUCUCAGUUCUAAAACUUUUCAUUUUCUCAGCAUGGAGGACAAACUUGACAACUUACAUCUUCUCACUUUUCACAAUUUAUUAUUUUUAUGGGUUGAAAUAUCUAAGAAUUGGAGUUGGAAUAUGCUCGUCAGCUUUCUACAGAAUGCUCCAAAACUUAAGGAUCUUGCAAUUACGAGAAACAUUGAAAUCAAUUCCCGAAGAAAGGAGGUUGGGAACCCGAGUUGGGUGGAGCCAUUGAUAUCUCCCACAUGUCUUAGAAGCAGUCUCAUUACAUUUGAAUUUGUUGGAAUUCAAAACAUAAAAACUGAAUUGGACUUUACGCGAUAUAUUGUAAGUCACUCAAGUAAGUUACAAAAGGUAAAGAUUUUCACACCCACUUCAAAAUAAAGAAGAGUUGAAAAAAGUUUACGCAAGGGGACAAAGAAAUCCUCCGUACUAGUAUGGGUACGAAGUUUACACACUUUCUUUUCUUCCAUACAGAGUCUGUAUACUUUCUUUUUUAAUGAAAAAGGUUGGCAUGUUAAUAUUUGCUGGUAUGAUGAUGUGGGGUGGUGAUAGAACUUUCAUCCUCUCAUUGUUCUAGACAUUAUUUUCGACCAUCAACACAACUUUAUAUCUCCUGAAUUUUUUCGUGGUUGAGAAUAAGACUGUUUUUCUUAAAAUAAGUAAAUUAUAUCCUCUUAAAUUUUUUGAAUA